ACUGAAUAGAUACCCUGUAGUCCACGCCAUAAACGAUGAGGACUAGACGUUGGAGGGGUAAGCCUUUCAGUGUCGUAGCUAAACGCGCUAAGUCCUCCGCCUGGGGAGUACGGCCGCAAGGUUGAAACUACAAAGGAAUUGACGGGGACCCGCACAAGCGGUGGAGCAUGUGGUUUAAAUUCGAUGCAACGCGAAGAACCUUACCUGGUCUUGACAUCCAUGGAACCCUGCAGAGAUGCGGGGGUGCCGUAAGGAACCAUGAGACAGGUGCUGCAUGGCUGUCGUCAGCUCGUGUCGUGAGAUGUUGGGUUAAGUCCCGCAACGAGCGCAACCCUUGUCCUUAGUUGCCAUCAUUUAGUUGGGAACUCUAAGGAGACCGCCGGUGACAAACCGGAGGAAGGUGGGGAUGACGUCAAGUCAUCAUGGCCUUUAUGACCAGGGCUACACACGUGCUACAAUGGUAGAUACAGAGGGAAGCCAACGCGCGAGCGGGAGC
rnacentral:rRNA from 1 species